GAGUGCGAUCAUACCGGUGUUAAUGCACCAUAUCCCAUCAGAACUCUGCAAUUAAGCGUGCUUGGGAUAGAGUAGUACUGGGAUGGGUGACCUCUCGAGAAGUCCUAGUGUUUCACCCU
rnacentral:rRNA from 1 species